AUUGAACGCUGGCGGCAGGCUUAACACAUGCAAGUCGAGCGGGGGAGGUAGCUUGCUACCGGACCUAGCGGCGGACGGGUGAGUAAUGCUUAGGAAUCUGCCUAUUAGUGGGGGACAACAUCUCGAAAGGGAUGCUAAUACCGCAUACGUCCUACGGGAGAAAGCAGGGGAUCUUCGGACCUUGCGCUAAUAGAUGAGCCUAAGUCGGAUUAGCUAGUUGGUGGGGUAAAGGCUUACCAAGGGGACGAUCUGUAGCGGGUCUGAGAGGAUGAUCCGCCACACUGGGACUGAGACACGGCCCAGACUCCUACGGGAGGCAGCAGUGGGGAAUAUUGGACAAUGGGGGGAACCCUGAUCUAGCCAUGCCGCGUGUGUGAAGAAGGCCUUAUGGUUGUAAAGCACUUUAAGCGAGGAGGAGGCUACUUUAGUUAAUACCUAGAGAUAGUGGACGUUACUCGCAGAAUAAGCACCGGCUAACUCUGUGCUAGCCGCCGCCGUAA
rnacentral:rRNA from 1 species